AUCAUUGCCCAAUGCGGGGUAUUGAAUGCUGCCUGGAGCUUUUGAUACAUCCUCCUCAUCCUCUGUGCUUGCUGUGUUGCUGAGCCCCUGCGCUCUUGUGCCCGUCCCCUCUCCCUCUCCCUACCACCAAGAAAACAACCCCUACACGGGAAGGAGGGUAGGGGAGGGAAAUGAUCAUGUGAUAAAUGCUCAUUCAGUUCCAAAAAACUGGGUAGGUCCAAAUUAUAUA
rnacentral:lncRNA from 1 species